UCCAUCUUGAUUUGGAAGGCUGCGGGAGGU
rnacentral:piRNA from 1 species